AGUGAACGCUGGCGGCGUGCUUAACACAUGCAAGUCGAACGAGAACGGAAUAUAGCUUGCUAUAUUUGUCAGCUAAGUGGCGCACGGGUGAGUAAUGUAUAGAUAACCUGCCCUUAAGAAAGGAAUAACAGUUGGAAACGACUGCUAAUGCCCUAUAUGCCUUUAAUACAUAAGUAUGCAAGGGAAACGCUUUAGUGCUUAAGGAUGGGUCUGUAUGGUAUCAGCUUGUUGGUGAGGUAAUGGCUCACCAAGGCUAUGACGCCUAACUGGCUUGAGAGGAUGAUCAGUCACACUGGAACUGAGACACGGUCCAGACUCCUACGGGAGGCAGCAGUGGAGAAUAUGGCACAAUGGACGAAAGUCUGAUGCAGCAACGCCGCGUGGAGGAUGACACAUUUCGGUGCGUAAACUCCUUUUAUAUAGGAAGAUAAUGACGGUACUAUAUGAAUAAGCACCGGCUAACUCCGUGCCAGCCGCCGCGGUAA
rnacentral:rRNA from 1 species